UAAUCUCAGAUAUGUUAGUUGAUAUUGUACCUUUGGCUGACCAUUGAGGGGCUGUAAUAUUUAGUUGAAGUGAAGAAUUGUAGAUCAAACUUCUUUUAAUGUAAAUUUAAAUUUAUAUAUUACAUUUUGUAAAUUCUUAUGUCAGGUGUUUCACAUAAGUUGUAGUUAGGGUCUUCAUUGUUAUUAUUUCUAUUUUGUUAUCUGCCAAUGCUUUUGUAAAAUGGUUGUAGAUUUGUUUUUGGGAGGAUUUAUUGAGAGGGGAGGUUUUACCGAAAUGUUUACAAGAAGUCUAAAUCUUUUAUUUAUAUAAAAAUGUUGAAAUGAAUUUCAAUCCUAUUUCAAAUAAAUUAAAAUAUCAUAUUAGAGUUUCUUUGAUUGAGGCUUAAGGAAUAUAUAUUUGUGUAUAUAUCCUAUGCCGGUCACGUUAUAUUUUCAGGGUGUGACAUUGGAUAUGAAAAUCUUAACAAUAUGAUCAUCAUGAAAAGUUUCAUGAAUCUGGAACCCUUAUACUUGUCUUCAUCCUUAAAAACAGGCUCAAGAAUUUUAUCAGGCAACGGCUUUGCUUUUUCAUCAUUCCUUCAUUGAGUUAUCAUAACAGCUCAUGCAUCUCAGCAAUAUUUUGAAUUUCAAAAAAGACAUGUUUGCGUGAGUAGUUAUGAUUCUUUCUCAUGCUUCUAUUUCAAGUGUGUGAUGAUCCCAUCCUCUCAAGAAAUCUUGUCCACAGAACCACAUGCUUGAAGCUUCCACAAUCUCCAAGCUCAUCUUCCCAUGUGCUGCUAUUCCUAGUUCUGGUCUUCAUCUUCUACAGCAUUUGAUGGUUGAGAAUAUGGUUCUGGACAUAUUAAUUGGAAUCCUUGCUGGUUGUAGGAAAGCUAGAGAUGCUGUCAAAGCUAUUAAAACAACAACAAAAAACGAAGGGGAAAAAAAAGGUUUUGUGCAAAUCCCAAAUAGCUAACUUUAGUUGGUGAAGGUGUUGUGAUGAAUAAUCCGUUCCUCUAAUGAACAAUACAAGAGAAGAGAUCAUGUUCAUAGUCAUGGAAGAAUCAUGUUUCCACACUGCAACUGUCAACAAAUUUAGUGGUCCAUCCUUUCUUGUUGAUUCUACUUGCACUGAUGUGAAGACAUUGGACAGUAGGAUGAGGCUGUUUGUUGUUGUUUAGAAAUUGGACAAGAGGGCACUCCAAGCAGGACUGAGCUGGCACAGAUGGAAAUCUGGUUUAGAAAGAGCUUACAGACCAAUUUCUUCACAUCAGUCAGUGAGAAGUGUUGAUGAACAAAAGCAAUGGAGAUCAUAUGUUCGUAAUCAACAACAGAGUGUGGCAAACGUGGAAAAUCUCUGAACUAGAAGAGCUUGUUAAUUGCUGUAUGUGCUGCUACAUUUUCUAUGGGAUCUUCUAGAAGUAUUUGCAGAGAGACCUAUUCAAGGUGUAUUGGAGAUUAUGAUACAUUUGCGUGUGUGUGUGUGUAUUGGUUUUGCUCAUAUUGAAAAUAGAACCACACAAGUUGUAGAAGGAUUCAAAAUCCUUUCAAAUAGAAAAUUUUCCUAUUCUCAUUUUUUGUUCCUUUUUGUACUUUUGGAAUAGAGAAAUCUGCUACACAACUUUUGUGUCUUGCAACAUGCACACACUUGAAAUUAGGAUGUACUAAGAAAAUUGUUAAACAAUCCUACUACAUGAAUCUUAUUGAUCAUAUGCU